UACGUAGGGGGCAAGCGUUGUCCGGAAUCAUUGGGCGUAAAGCGCGCGUAGGCGGCCCGAUAAGUCUGCUGUGAAAGUCCAGGGCUCAACCCUGGAAUGCCGGUGGAUACUGUCGGGCUAGAGUUCGGAAGAGGCAAGUGGAAUUCCUGGUGUAGCGGUGGAAUGCGCAGAUAUCAGGAGGAACACCUAUAGCGAAGGCAGCUUGCUGGGACGACACUGACGCUGAGACGCGAAAGCGUGGGGAGCGAACAGG
rnacentral:rRNA from 1 species